UGGGCAAUCUGCCCUUCUCAUCGGAAUAAGCGUUGGAAACGACGUCUAAUGCCGAAUACGACCUCCUUUCGCAUGAUCGGAGGUGGAAAGCUCCGGCGGAGAAGGAUGAGCUCGCGGCCUAUCAGCUAGUUGGUGUGGGUAAUGGCCCACCAAGGCGACGACGGGUAGCCGGCCUGAGAGGGCGACCGGCCACACUGGGACUGAGACACGGCCCAGACUCCUACGGGAGNAGCG
rnacentral:rRNA from 1 species